UGGGGAAUAUUGCACAAUGGGCGCAAGCCUGAUGCAGCCAUGCCGCGUGUAUGAAGAAGGCCUUCGGGUUGUAAAGUACUUUCAGCGGGGAGGAAGGUGUUGUGGUUAAUAACCACAGCAAUUGACGUUACCCGCAGAAGAAGCACCGGCUAACUCCGUGCCAGCAGCCGCGGUAAUACGGAGGGUGCAAGCGUUAAUCGGAAUUACUGGGCGUAAAGCGCACGCAGGCGGUCUGUCAAGUCGGAUGUGAAAUCCCCGGGCUCAACCUGGGAACUGCACCCGAAACUGGCAGGCUUGAGUCUUGUAGAGGGGGGUAGAAUUCCAGGUGUAGCGGUGAAAUGCGUAGAGAUCUGGAGGAAUACCGGUGGCGAAGGCGGCCCCCUGGACAAAGACUGACGCUCAGGUGCGAAAGCGUGGGGAGCAAACA
rnacentral:rRNA from 1 species